rnacentral:ncRNA from 1 species
UAGAGCCGUGUGAGAUGAAAGUCUCAUGCACGGUUUGAAUGAGAGAAAGAAUGAGGAAUCCUCUUUCGACUCUAAC